UCUCCGAGCCUCAGUUUCCCCAUCUUCCGAAAGGGGCCUGGCAUAUCCUGGGCAGGCAGAUGGUGGAUCAGAGGUAGUGAGGUGCCUACAAGGAAAUGCUCCCAACAGGGUGGCUUGGAGGAAUCCUCCUUCCUCAGCACUCAUGGGCCGGGCACUGUUCUAGGCCGUGGGGGUGGGGAUCGAGCAGUGGCCACACUGACAAAGCCCCUACCCUUGUGGAAGUGACAUUCUACUGAGGCCAUGGACACGUACAGUACCCAAUCUCCCACCCUCCACCUGCCAGAAUGACAGAGGCUCCCCCAUGGAGAUUCCUGGCAUGCCCAGCCCCACGUCUGGGUUGAGAGUAGUGACUCAGAAGAAAAUGAAGGCUACUGCUAGCAACCAAAUGAGGCCUUUCAUGUGUGUUUCCUUCCUGGCUUCCUCCUGUUUUUCUCACACCUCUGAACCUGCUGUCAGGUGAAAAAUCAAGGCUACUUUCCCACUGGUGCCAGGAUUCCCCCAACGCCACACUGAGAACCCAGGAGAAGCAUCACAUUAUAUGAGAGAUAAGAAAUGAAGAGAGGGAGCAG
rnacentral:lncRNA from 10 species